CUCAGGAGUGAAGCUGCUGUCUGCUGGACUGGAGGAUCCACACUGGAGACUGGACACUCUCAGGGUGGAGCCCGGUGGAGUCCGAUGGCUGAGACCAGGUCUGAGGAAGUGUAAGUGUGUUUUUACUUUGAUUCAUGAAAACAAAGCAGCACACAUUCAGCCAUCUUCAAACUGUGACAUCACUCAUUCACGUCUCUGAUGUCGUCAUCAAACAGAUGAUAGAUUAAUAACUGCAGCUGUGUUGUGUCUCGUUCUCUCCAUCAGAUUCCUGUGAACUCACACUCGACACAAACACAGUGAACA